rnacentral:rRNA from 1 species
GCCCUUAGAGUUUGAUCCUGGCUCAGGAUGAACGCUAGCGGCAGGCUUAAUACAUGCAAGUCGGACGGUAACAGACCUGGCAACGGGUGCUGACGAGUGGCGCACGGGUGCGUAACACGUAUGCAACCUACCCUGUACUGGGGGAUAACCCUGAGAAAUCGGGGCUAAUACCCCAUGGAAUCAUAGAGUGGCAUCGCUAUUAUGAUUAAAGAUUCAUUGGUACGGGAUGGGCAUGCGCCCCAUUAGUUAGUUGGUGAGGUAACGGCUCACCAAGGCGAUGAUGGGUAGGGGUUCUGAGAGGAUUAUCCCCCACACUGGUACUGAGACACGGACCAGACUCCUACGGGAGGCAGCAGUAAGGAAUAUUGGGCAAUGGAGGCAGCUCUGACCCAGCCAUGCCGCGUGCAGGAAGACGGCCCUAUGGGUUGUAAACUGCUUUUGUAUGGGACUAACCGUGGCUACGUGUAGUCAUCUGCAUGUACCAUACGAAUAAGCAUCGGCUAACUCCGUGCCAGCAGCCGCGGUAAUACGGAGGAUGCGAGCGUUAUCCGGAAUUAUUGGGUUUAAAGGGUGCGUAGGCUGACAAGUAAGUCAGUGGUGAAAUACCCCGGCUUAACCGGGGGGUUGCCAUUGAAACUGUUUUGUCUUGAGUU